ACUCCUACGGGAGGCAGCAGUGGGGAAUAUUGCACAAUGGGCGCAAGCCUGAUGCAGCCAUGCCGCGUGUGUGAAGAAGGCCUUCGGGUUGUAAAGACUUUCAGUCGUGAGGAAGGUGAGUAGUAGUUAAUAGCUGCUAUUAUUUGACGUUAGCGAACAGAAGAAGCACCGGCUAACUCCGUGCCAGCAGCCGCGGUAAUACGGAGGGUGCGAGCGUUAAUCGGAAUUACUGGGCGUAAAGCGCAUGCAGGUGGUUUGUUAAGUCAGAUGUGAAAGCCCGGGGCUCAACCUCGG
rnacentral:rRNA from 1 species